rnacentral:rRNA from 1 species
CGACCACCGCAAUGUCUUCUUCAACUGUUCCACUUUGGCGGCAAUCUUCUCCUCGCUGAAGCACGCGACAGCCUGCAGCGCUUGCCUAAACAUCCCAGAGCCACGGGGCACACCAAUGCGUUCGGCGCACGCGACCAUCGCGAGGGCGCGCUCCGGACUGGCGGUGACGAUCCUCGGCAUUUGGAUGAGCAGCUUGGCAAUAUCGCGAGCACCUAG